rnacentral:rRNA from 1 species
CGAUUGCUAAACGUCGGGAAAAUUAUCUCGGUGUUGAAGCUAACGCGAUAAGCAAUCCGCUUGAGGAGUACGGUCGCAAGACUAAAACUCAAAGGAAUUGACGGGGACCCGCACAAGCGGUGGAGCAUGUGGUUUAAUUCGAUAAUCGCGAAAAACCUUACCAGCUCUUGACAUGGAGGUUAGUCUUAUGAGAAUAAGAUGUCGGUUGGCCGGGCCUCGCACAGGUGGUGCAUGGCGUCGUCAGCUCGUGUCGUGAGAUUUUGGGUUAAGUCCUUUAACGGGCGCAACCCCUAUCUUUACUUGCUAACGAAUAAUGUUGAGAACUUUAAAGAGACUGCCAGUGAUAAACUGGAGGAAGGUGGGGAUGACGUCAAGUCAUCAUGCCCCUUAUGAGCUGGGCUACACAUGUGCUACAAUGGCGGUCACAAUAUGUUGCAAAGAGGUGACUCUGAGCCAAUCAUAAAAAGCCGUCUCAGUUCGGAUUGUUCUCUGCAACUCGAGAACAUGAAGUUGGAAUCGCUAGUAAUCGCUGAUCAGCACGCAGCGGUGAAUACGUUCACGGGUCUUGUACACACCGCCCGUCAAGCCAUGGGAAUUGGUUUCACCUAAAGAUGAUGAGCUAACUGCAAAGAGGCAAUUAGUUAAGGUGAGGCUGGUGACUGGGGUUAAGUCGUAACAAGGUAACCAAGGGCGAAUUCCAG